rnacentral:rRNA from 1 species
CCCUUAGAUGUUCUGGGCCGCACGCGCGCUACACUGAUGCAUGCAGCAAGUCUUUUCCUUGGCCGAGAGGCCUGGGCAAUCUUUGAAUAUGCAUCGCGAUGGGGAUAGACGAUUGCAAUUAUUCGUCUUCAACGAGGAAUUCCUAGUAAACGCAAGUCAUCAGCUUGCAUUGAUUACGUCCCUGCCCUUUGUACACACCGCCCGUCGCACCUACCGAUUGAAUGGUCCGGUGAAGGCUCCGGAGGCGUCUUUCUCAAUGUUUAUUCGGCGAGAUUGGUGCCAAAGUUGAAUGAACCUUACCAUUUAGAGGAAGGUGAAGUCGUAACA